CCGACAGAGCCAGGCCGCCCUGCCCUGGGAAGGUGCCAUUCCGAGGGCCAGGGUCUGAUUUUGUGUUGCUCUGGCUGCUAUGGCCCCUCCCAGGGCCUGGGCAUCACCCCCAGACAAGUG
rnacentral:precursor_RNA from 14 species